rnacentral:rRNA from 1 species
CUACGCGCCAGCAGCCGCGGUAAUACGGAAGGUCCAGGCGUUAUCCGGAUUUAUUGGGUUUAAAGGGAGUGUAGGCGGUCUGUUAAGCGUGUUGUGAAAUUUAGGUGCUCAACAUUUAACUUGCAGCGCGAACUGGCGGACUUGAGUGCACGCAACGUAUGCGGAAUUCAUGGUGUAGCGGUGAAAUGCUUAGAUAUCAUGACGAACUCCGAUUGCGAAGGCAGCGUACGGGAGUGUUACUGACGCUUAAGCUCGAAGGUGCGGGUAUCGAACAGGAUUAGAUACCCUGGUAGUCCGCACGGUAAACGAUGGAUGCCCGCUGUUAGCGCCUGGCGUUAGCGGCUAAGCGAAAGCAUUAAGCAUCCCACCUGGGGAGUACGCCGGCAACGGUGAAACUCAAAGGAAUUGACGGGGGCCCGCACAAGCGGAGGAACAUGUGGUUUAAUUCGAUGAUACGCGAGGAACCUUACCCGGGCUUGAAUUGCAGACGCAGGAUACAGAGAUGUUGA